rnacentral:rRNA from 1 species
CGUGCAGCCGGGUCUGCAAGUCAGAUGUGAAAUCCAUGGGCUCAACCCAUGAACUGCAUUUGAAACUGUAGAUCUUGAGUGUCGGAGGGGCAAUCGGAAUUCCUAGUGUAGCGGUGAAAUGCGUAGAUAUUAGGAGGAACACCAGUGGCGAAGGCGGAUUGCUGGACGAUAACUGACGGUGAGGCGCGAAAGUGUGGGGAGCAAACA